UACGUAGGUGGCAAGCGUUGUCCGGAAUUAUUGGGCGUAAAGCGCGCGCAGGUGGUUCCUUAAGUCUGAUGUGAAAGCCCACGGCUCAACCGUGGAGGGUCAUUGGAAACUGGGGAACUUGAGUGCAGAAGAGGAAAGUGGAAUUCUUGGUGUAGCAGUGAAAUGCGUAGAUAUCAAGAGGAACACCAGUGGCGAAGGCGAGUCCCUGGACAACUUCUGACGCUGAGGCACGAAAGCUAGGGGAGCAAACAGG
rnacentral:rRNA from 1 species